UUAAAUCUUAGGUCCGAGUUUGUUUUCCUUUGAAUCAACAAAAACGACCUCUAUCCUUCGGAUGGACCCACGACCCGGCGUUCCAAAAAUCGGAAUCGAGUGUAAGAUCCCCAAAUAUUUUUCGUUUCUUUUAAUUUCUUUUCCCACACUUUCUCGGCAGCCAAACAGACCGAAAUUGAACUUUUCUGGUUGUGUGCAUCGAGAUCGAGGAGAAAUCCAACAUGGGGUUUUUGGUAACGACCUUAAUUUUCCUUGUGAUUGGGAUCAUUGCUUCUCUGUGUACCAGAAUUUGCUGCAACCGAG